GGGUUGUGAGGUUAAGCGACUAAGCGUACACGGUGGAUGCCCUGGCAGUCAGAGGCGAUGAAGGGCGUGCUAAUCUGCGAUAAGCGCCGGUAAGGUGAUAUGAACCGUUAUAACCGGCGAUUUCCGAAUGGGGAAACCCAGUGUGACUCGUCACACUAUCAUUAACUGAAUCCAUAGGUUAAUGAGGCGAAC
rnacentral:rRNA from 1 species